rnacentral:rRNA from 1 species
AACGAACGCUGGCGGCAUGCCUAAUACAUGCAAGUCGAACGAGAUCUUCGGACCUAGUGGCGCAUGGGUGCGUAACGCGUGGGAAUCUGCCCAUGGGUUCGGAAUAACUUCUGGAAACGGAAGCUAAUACCGGAUGAUGUCGUAAGUCCAAAGAUUUAUCGCCCAAGGAUGAGCCCGCGUAGGAUUAGGUAGUUGGUGAGGUAAAGGCUCACAACGCCGACGAUCCUUAGCUGGUUUGAGAGGAUGAUCAGCCACACUGGGACUGAGACACGGCCCAGACUCCUACGGGAGGCAGCAGUAGGGAAUAUUGGACAGUGGGCGAAAGCCUGAUCCAGCAAUGCCGCGUGAGUGAUGAAGGCCGUAGGGUUGUAAAGCUCUUUUACCCGGGAUGAUAAUGACAGUACCGGGAGAAUAAGCUCCGGCUAACUCCGUG